GAAAAUGAGCUCGGAGAAAACCGGUAUCUAUUUUUCGUCUCUCAACUUGUGGAGAACCGGUACACAAAUACAGUAGUUUUUAAACUCUCUUUCCGUAUAUUUCUCUGCAGGCCUUCAGACUCUGCCCUGAAUGUUUGACACGAGGCUUCAAACUUUUAGCCUUGGUCAUUGGUAGUCCAGCUAAGAAAAGAAGUUAUUGGUAGUCUUCUUUUUUUUUGAGCGAAAGUUAUUUGUAGUCAAACAUUCAGGGCUCUGGGUGUCUAGUGUCCUUUUUUUUGUUUUGUAAAACCGCCUCGUGUCAGGCUCUUCCUGUUAUUAGUCAGAAAAAUGG
rnacentral:lncRNA from 1 species